rnacentral:rRNA from 1 species
UGGGUUUAAUACCGUAUACGCCCUUCGGGGGAAAGAAUUUCGGUGAGGGAUCGGCCCGCGUUAGAUUAGUUAGUUGGUGGGGUAAUGGCCUACCAAGACUACGAUCUAUAGCUGGUUUGAGAGGAUGAUCAGCAACACUGGGACUGAGACACGGCCCAGACUCCUACGGGAGGCAGCAGUGGGGAAUCUUAGACAAUGGGGGCAACCCUGAUCUAGCGAUGCCGCGUGAGUGAUGAAGGCCUUAGGGUCGUAAAGCUCUUUCGCCUGUGAUGAUAAUGACAGUAGCAGGUAAAGAAACCCCGGCUAACUCCGUGCCAGCAGCCGCGGUAAUACGGAGGGGGUUAGCGUUGUUCGGAAUUACUGGGCGUAAAGCGCACGUAGGCGGAUUAGUCAGUCAGAGGUGAAAUCCCAGGGCUCAACCCUGGAACUGCCUUUGAUACUGCUAGUCUUGAGUUCGAGAGAGGUAAGUGGAAUUCCGAGUGUAGAGGUGAAAUUCGUAGAUAUUCGGAGGAACACCAGUGGCGAAGGCGGCUUACUGGCUCGAUACUGACGCUGAGGUGCGAAAGUGUGGGGAGCAAACAGGAUUAGAUACCCUGGUAGUCCACACCGUAAACGAUGAAUGCCAGUCGUCGGGUAGCAUGCUAUUCGGUGACACACCUAACGGAUUAAGCAUUCCGCCUGGGGAGUACGGUCGCAAGAUU